UGCUUUUCAAGAACUUUUAAAUUGUGAAUGUGAUAGGACUGCCACUUAGCAUUAGACCAGAGUGUGUCCAUUUUAAAAUGAUACAAUUGUCCAUCAUUUUUUUUCUUUGUCAUGUGUCUAUUAGAAUUUUAACUGAAUGUCAGGUGCAAGAAAAUGGACAUGCAAGUGGUUUUUGGGACUUUUCUUAGCUCAAGCUAAAAACAAAAACAGUUAUUAAUGUACGUUACUGUACUAACUUGAUCUAUUUUAAUUUCAGAUAUCCGCUGAACAAAUCAUCUGAAAAUUAAGGCUAAUAGGAGAGGAUGAAGAAUACUUCUGUUAAAAGGUUGAAGUAACUGACGAGCAGGUCAAUCCAACCUGAACUUGAAGUGCAAGUGGGUCUUCAAAAAUGUGGACCACUCAAGGACUUUUCUGUUGGUUGAUGAUGGACUACAAACUGAAUAUUUAACAAAGAAAUCCACUUUGGUGCUUAUUGGCUACUAAUGAUGUGAACUUGUGCAUUUAUCAUACCAAGUACUUUGACAUUUCCUUGAUGAUACUAGACUUGCAUAUACGGAAUCAUUCAGGUUUAGUUGAUUGAUUGCAGUUCUAAGUUCCUCUCGCAAGAUUAUAUCUCUCAUGUAUAAGACAUCAUUAAAUGCAGACAUUUUCUCUGUCCUCCUGUUGUGACAUGAGAGCUCGGACUUAGUUGUAAAAAUAUUUAUGAUGCAAGAGAAAAUAAAUGGCCAAGACAAUGUAUGUACACGUUGAUAAUAACAUUAAAUAUUCUUUGAUAACUAG